UAGGGAAUUUUCGUCAAUGGGCGCAAGCCUGAACGAGCAAAUGCCGCGUGAACGAGGAAGGUCUUCGGAUCGUAAAGUUCUGUUGAAGGGGAAAAAGAGCGGAGAGAGGAAAUGGUCUCCGAUUGAUAUUACCCUUCGAGGAAGUCACGGCUAACUACGUGCC
rnacentral:rRNA from 1 species